rnacentral:lncRNA from 1 species
AAAGACAAAUCACAUAAUUUAUGCCAACUAAUUUGAUACUAUAUAACUCCUCCUCGUUUAUAUUUUAUAUUUACUGCAUGUUCACCAGCUCAUAUAAGUCAUAUCAAUAAAAAUAGACUACCCCUUCCAUAGACCACGUUAUGCCAUGAAGCUGUUUCUUAGAGUAGUUAGAGUUGUUUCUGCAGAAAAUUAAUUUGUGGACCCCACUUAAAUUUUUAAAAAC